rnacentral:rRNA from 1 species
CGGGAGGACCAUCUCCCAAGGCUAAAUACUCUCUAGUGACCGAUAGUGAACCAGUACCGUGAGGGAAAGGUGAAAAGUACCCCGGAAGGGGAGUGAAAGAGAACUUGAAACCGUGUGCUUACAAGUAGUCAGAGCCCGUUAAUGGGUGAUGGCGUGCCUUUUGUAGAAUGAACCGGCGAGUUACGAUCUGAUGCAAGGUUAAGCAGCAAAUGCGGAGCCGCAGCGAAAGCGAGUCUGAACAGGGCGUUGAGUAUUUGGUCGUAGACCCGAAACCAGGUGAUCUACCCUUGGUCAGGUUGAAGUUCAGGUAACACUGAAUGGAGGACCGAACCGACUUACGUUGAAAAGUGAGCGGAUGAACUGAGGGUAGCGGAGAAAUUCCAAUCGAACCUGGAGAUAGCUGGUUCUCUCCGAAAUAGCUUUAGGGCUAGCCUCAAGUGAUGAUUGUUGGAGGUAGAGCACUGUUUGGACGAGGGGCCCCUCUCGGGUUACCGAAUUCAGACAAACUCCGAAUGCCAAUCAAUUUAACUUGGGAGUCAGAACGUGGGUGAUAAGGUCCAUGUUCGAAAGGGAAACAGCCCAGACCACCAGCUAAGGUCCCAAAAUAUAUGUUAAGUGGCAAAGGAUGUGGUAUUGCCCAGACAACUAGGAUGUUGGCUUAGAAGCAGCCAUCAUUUAAAGAGUGCGUAAUAGCUCACUAGUCGAGUGACACUGCGCCGAAAAUGUACCGGGGCUAAACAUAUUACCGAAGCUGUGGAUUGUCCGUAGGACAAUGGUAGGAGAGCGUUCUAAGUGCGUCGAAGCAUGAUCGCAAGGACAUGUGGAGCGCUUAGAAGUGAGAAUGCCGGUGUGAGUAGCGAAAGAUGGGUGA